rnacentral:rRNA from 1 species
UGGGGAAUAUUGCACAAUGGGGGAAACCCUGAUGCAGCGACGCCGCGUGAACGAAGAAGGUAUUCGUAUCGUAAAGUUCUGUCCUAUGGGAAGAUAAUGACAGUACCAUAGAAGAAAGCUCCGGCUAAAUACGUGCCAGCAGCCGCGGUAAUACGUAUGGAGCGAGCGUUGUCCGGAAUUAUUGGGCGUAAAGGGUACGCAGGCGGUUUAAUAAGUCGAAUGUUAAAGAUCGGGGCUCAACCCCGCAAAGCAUUGGAAACUGAUAAACUUGAGUAGUGGAGAGGAAAGUGGAAUUCCUAGUGUAGUGGUGAAAUACGUAGAUAUUAGGAAUACCAGUAGCGAAGGCGACUUUCUGGACACAAACUGACGCUGAGGUACGAAAGCGUGGGGAGCAAACAGG